AUUGAACGCUGGCGGCAGGCCUAACACAUGCAAGUCGAACGAGUGGCGGACGGGCGAGUAAUUUCUGGGCACCUGCCUGAUCUAGGCGGAUAACUACUGUAAACGUUAGCUAAUACCGCAUACCAUCAGAUGUGCCCACGUGGGUUUAGCUAGUCGGUGGGGUAACGGAUCACCAAGGCGACGAUCCCUAGCUGGUCUGAGAGGAUGAUCGGCAACACUGGAACUGAGACACGGUCCAGACUCCUACGGGAGGCAGCAGUGGGGAAUAUUGCACAAUGGGCGCAAGCCUGAUGCAGCCAUGCCGCGUGUGUGAAGAAGGCCUUCGGGUUGUAAAGUACUUUCGGCGGGGAGGCGUUACCCGCCGAGGAAGCACCGGCUAACUCCGUGCCAGCAGCCGCGGUAAUUC
rnacentral:rRNA from 1 species